rnacentral:rRNA from 1 species
UGGGGGAUAUUGCGCAAUGGGGGCAACCCUGACGCAGCAACGCCGCGUGAAGGAUGAAGGUUUUCGGAUUGUAAACUUCUUUUAUUAAGGACGAAAAAUGACGGUACUUAAUGAAUAAGCUCCGGCUAACUACGUGCCAGCAGCCGCGGUAAUACGUAGGGAGCAAGCGUUGUCCGGAUUUACUGGGUGUAAAGGGUGCGUAGGCGGCUUUGCAAGUCAGAUGUGAAAUCUAUGGGCUCAACCCAUAAACUGCAUUUGAAACUGUAGAGCUUGAGUGAAGUAGAGGCAGGCGGAAUUCCCCGUGUAGCGGUGAAAUGCGUAGAGAUGGGGAGGAACACCAGUGGCGAAGGCGGCCUGCUGGGCUUUAACUGACGCUGAGGCACGAAAGCGUGGGUAGCAAACAGGAUUAGAUACCCUGGUAGUCCACGCUGUAAACGAUGAUUACUAGGUGUGGGGGGUCUGACCCCUUCCGUGCCGGAGUUAACACAAUAAGUAAUCCACCUGGGGAGUACGGCCGCAAGGUUGAAACUCAAAGGAAUUGACGGGGGCCCGCACAAGCAGUGGAGUAUGUGGUUUAAUUCGAAGCAACGCGAAGAACCUUACCAGGUCUUGACAUCCAACUAACGAAGUAGAGAUACAUUAGGUGCCCUUCGGGGAAAGUUGAGACAGGUGGUGCAUGGUUGUCGUCAGCUCGUGUCGUGAGAUGUUGGGUUAAGUCCCGCAACGAGCGCAACCCUUGCUAUUAGUUGCUACGCAAGAGCACUCUAAUAGGACUGCCGUUGACAAAACGGAGGAAGGUGGGGACGACGUCAAAUCAUCAUGCCCCUUAUGACCUGGGCUACACACGUACUACAAUGGAUGUUAACAGAGGGAAGCAAGACAGCGAUGUGGAGCAAACCCCUAAAAACAUUCUCAGUUCAGAUUGCAGGCUGCGACCCGCCUGCAUGAAGAUGGAAUUGCUAGUAAUCGCGGAUCAGCAUGCCGCGGUGAAUACGUUCCC